AUUUUGGGGAAAGGGAAGAGGAAUUUCCUCUUCCGACUCACUUAUGGAGGAUAAUGGCGUCGGUGGAUGCUGUUCCCCUGUCUCGUGGGUGGAAGCGGCCCCCGGGAGGUUCAGCAGCAAAUUUUUUAAACACUAAUGAAACUAAUCCAUUAAUAUGAAUCGUAUAGUCAGAGAGGAUGCCAAGAAGAGCACUCCGGACAACAGAGAAUGAGAAGCUGCAUUAAAAUGCAAAACAAACCAA